rnacentral:rRNA from 1 species
AACGAACGCUGGCGGCAGGCCUAACACAUGCAAGUCGAGCGAAGCCUUCGGGCUUAGCGGCGGACGGGUGAGUAACGCGUGGGAACGUGCCCUCUGGUCCGGAAUAGCCCCGGGAAACUGGGAGUAAUACCGUAUGUGGUCGAGAGACGAGAGAUUUACCGCCAAAGGAUCGGCCCGCGUUGGAUUAGGUAGUUGGUGGGGUAAUGGACAACCAAGCCGACGAUCCAUAGCUGGUUUGAGAGGAUGAUCAGCCACACUGGGACUGAGACACGGCCCAGACUCCUACGGGAGGCAGCAGUGGGGAAUCUUAGACAAUGGGGGGAACCCUGAUCUAGCCAUGCCGCGUGAUCGAUGAAGGCCUUAGGGUUGUAAAGAUCUUUCAGUGGGGAAGAUAAUGACUGUACCCACAGAAGAAGCCCCGGCUAACUCCGUGCCAGCCGCCGCCGUAAUAC